rnacentral:rRNA from 1 species
UGAAUACGAGAUGCUACGGCGUCGAAGCAGUCUAUGUCAUACUUCCAAGAAAAGCUCGCACUGUCAUAAACAAAUAAUGCCUGUACCAUAACCGACACAGGUGGGUAGGUAGAGUAUACUAAGGGGCGCGAGAUAACUCUCUCUAAGGAACUCGGCAAAAUGACUCCGUAACUUCGGGAGAAGGAGUGCCUUAUUUAUAAGGUUGCAAUAACAAGAUCCAAGCAACUGUUUAUCAAAAACACAGGUCUCCGCUAAGUCGUAAGACGAUGUAUGGGGGCUGACGCCUGCCCAGUGCCAGAAGGUUAAAGAAGUUGGUUAGCAUUCGCGAAGCUGAUAACUGAAGCCCUGGUGAACGGCGGCCGUAACUAUAACGGUCCUAAGGUAGCGAAAUUCCUUGUCGGGUAAGUUCCGACCCGCACGAAAGGCGUAAUGAUUUGGAUACUGUCUCGGAGAGGGGCUCGGUGAAAUAGACUUGUCUGUGAAGAUGCGGACUACCUGCACCAGGACAGAAAGACCCUAUGAAGCUUUACUGUAACUUGAGAUUGAAAUUGGACUUUACUUGCGCAGUAUAGGUGGGAGGCGUUGAUAAUAUUCUUGCGGGAUUAUUUGAGCCAUCAGUGAGAUACCACUCUUGUAAUGUUAGAUUUCUAACUUUGUAUCAUUAUCUGGUCAAAGGACAGUUUCAGGCGGGCAGUUUGACUGGGGCGGUCGCCUCCUAAACGGUAACGGAGGCGCACAAAGGUUUCCUCUGAACGGGUAGAAAUCGUAUCUAGAGUGUAAAGGCAUAAGGAAGCUUGACUGUGAGACCUACAAGUCGAGCAGGGACGAAAGUCGGUCUUAGUGAUCUGACGGUGCUGAGUGGAAAGGCCGUCACUCAACGGAUAAAAGUUACUCUAAGGAUAACAGGCUGAUCUCCCCCAAGAGUUCACAUCGACGGGGAGGUUUGGCACCUUGAUGUCGGCUCAUCGCAUCCUGGGGCGGUAGUACGUCCCAAGGGUUGGGCUGUUCGCCCAUGAAAGCGGUACGCGAGCUGGGUUCAGAACGUCGUGAGACAGUUCGGUCCAUAUCCGGUGUAGGCGUUAGAAUAUUGAGAGGAGCCUUCUUUAGUACGAGAGGACCGAGAAGGACAUACCUCUGGUGUACCAGUUAUCGUGCCAACGGUAAACGCUGGGUAGCUAUGUAUGGAGUGGAUAACCGCUGAAAGCAUCUAAGUGGGUAGCCCACCUCAAGAUAAGUAUUCUCA